rnacentral:lncRNA from 1 species
ACGCAUGCGUGCAGGAUCCCUGGGCAUAGUCGCUUGUUCUCCGCCCGCGGUGGACCAGCUGCGUAACGGUUCACACACUGAUGGCGCCUGGAGGUUUGGCGAAAUACUGACAGGAUGCGACGUCAACGGGAGCGCAGGGCCAAGAUACCCUUUAUAUCAAACCGUCUAUCCUGGAGCAGAAAAAUCCUGUCUUCAUUGCUAUAGCUACAGAUUCAGAAAUGAGCAUGUAACAAAUUCAGGCCAAAGAGAGGCAAUGGAAAUCAGAGAAACACUGUUCCUGAAAGCUUCUGUCACUCAAGAAUCCAUGAAACAUUCAUGAACUUCACAUCAGAGUCCUCAGAAGGGAAGAUAGUGUUAAUGUAGAAUUGAUAACACAGAAUGCACCACUGCUGUGAUCCUUAUAUCUUGGCUGGCCAUUACCCCUCCACUUGGAAAUGAAAAAGAUAAACUAAUUGAAGCAGUGAGAAGAGAAAAAGGGAGAGGAAGGUGCUAUUGUGGAGGUGCAUACCCAACAGUUUGAUAAUGUAGAGGAAGUGAUAGCUUUGUCUCGUGGAAUCUGGGUCGACCUCACAGAGGAGCUGUUAUUUGUUCUGGAUAUUGAACAGUGACAAGGAUUCAGUGGGAGAGAAAGAGGCGAGGAUUUUAAUGCAACUUGUUACACAAGAUGAACCCAAACAUAUUUGACUUUUUAUUUUCAGAAAAGCUUAAUACAUAGUUUUGAAUAUGGAUUGUCCCACAGGAUAAAUGCAUGAAAAAAGUUGGAAAAGAGAAAUUGAAUUACAUCCUAAUUGUAGUGUUUUCUCAGGCAGAUCAAUUUUAGAAAGAGAACAUUGACUUGGAAAACUGAAGAGUAAUUAUUCUAAAACGGUUGUAACAGUUUACUCCUUUUAUGUUUGCAAACUUCCAGGAUUAGUGAGUUGCAUAAAGUCACAUAAUUUAUUGCGUUGGUGCAAAAGUAAUUGUGGUUUUUGCCAUUAACAAAACCGCAAUUACUUUUGCAUCAGCCUAAUAUAAGUGAAUAAAUUAAUAUUAGAACACAGGUCUAAUUAAAAGGUUCUGCUGUGUUGUGUCCUGUGAUAACACAGAAAACAAACAAAUGGAUAAUUACAGAAAAAUUUUGGAUAUAAAAUUAGCAGGUAAUUUUCUCCCUCCUUUCCUUCCAUCUUUCCAUCCUUCUUUGCUUCCUUUGCUUUCUUCUUUUCCUUUGUUUUUUGUUUCUCUCUCUCUCUUUUUUUUUUUUUUUUUUUUUUUUUGCAAUUUGGAGAAGGAAGUACUUUAAAAGAAAAGUUAAAAGGCAGACAUAGAUAGCAUGAAGCCUAAUUGCAAGAUCUUUUUCAAACAUAUUAGUUUUAGGAAAUAGCACCUGAAUUUAAGUCCCUUAAAAUUGUCUAUGUCUUCACGUCCAAGUCUCUAUAUUUGCAGGGCUGUGUACAAUCUAGACUGAACAUGCUUGACCUAAAAACAGAAGUAAUACCUGGGGCAAAGCACGAUGUGCACCACAGUCUUCUCUCUUUAGUGUGUUAAGAUAAAGUUGAUUCCCAGAGUAGCCUGCCAUCACUAACUCUGAGGGAUGGUGGGCUAAUUUUGAUAGAAGGAGCAGAGGUGGUAGUUAGGAGGAAGGUGACUCAUCAUCAUUGUAUCAGCAGGCAUUGAUGACUGGAAAUAUCAGGGGGCACAGCCUGAAAGAGAAUGGCUUAAUUGGAAUUGAUAGUGGGAACUUGGAAAUCAAUACAUAUGCACUGAACAGAAAAUGGUAUGCUAUAAUCUACUAUACACUGUAUGUGAAACCCAAGCUCCAAAUUUUUCGGCCCAUGCAAUGUCCAGUAAAAUUUCUCUUAGUUACAUUAUAAUUGCAAUGUACAUGUAUUUGAGGAAAAAAAAAGUGAAAGAAAAAGUAACUAAAGAAAAGUGGAAAUGCAAAACUUUGUUUUUAUUAAUGUUAAAAUUUAUUUUGAUCAACUUGCUAUUCUUAAAAUUGACCAAUCUUCUUCCCUUCCUUGCCUCUUCCAUGGUUUAUAGGAUUAUUUUUCAGGGCUGAUCAGUUGGUGUUACAUGUGACUACUAUGCUUAAUGCUAUCUGGCUUCUAACUUUAAGCACUGAAAAAAAGUCCUUCGUAUUUCUCAGUGUGUGAUUGAACUGAGAUGACCAUCCUAAGCCUCCUCAUUACAUAAAUCCUUACCUUCUCCAGAAGCAACGAAUGGUGUUGAGAAUAGCAUAUGUUACUACUCAGCCAUAUUCCAUAGCCUUUUCUCCAAGAUAUUUUUCCAAAGUUGCCCCUUUUCUGAAUCCCUUGCAAGCAAACAAACAACAAAACAAUGGGUAAUAAAAUAAUUGUUUAACUUUCAUUUAUAUGCUCUGAGAUUGAUGUGAUUUUGAUAAAUAACUAUAUUAAAAGACAAAUGGGAGUGGUGAUUUUGUGAAAAGCCCAUGCCUCUGCCCAUGGAAUAUGUGGCUUGGCCUGGAGCUCUUAUUUUACUUAUAUAUUUCUAAGCAGAAUUAUUCAAGAAUGUCUCUUAUUACAGGUCUUGAAACUUGGACAGCCAACAGAAAGGAAGCUAAUAAAUAAAUUUGUCAGAACACGAUUCUCAGUUUCACUUAUUUUGAAUUAAAGGUAACCUGGAAAAUGGAUUAGGAAAACAGCCUAUAAUCAGAGGAGUGACCCCAGUGAGACCCUGUCAUUAAAACUUUAGUGUUGAGCCUGCAAACCUCUGUUCCUCUGAUUAGGCAAUUUACUCCAUUUCCACCUUUCUGUCUGCCAAAACAUUUAGUGGCAAAACAUUUUCUAAUUCUCUAGACUCAUAAAAUGUUGUUUUGAAAAAAAGUAAAACAGAAUGGAUUACCUUUUUAAGCUGUCUAUCAUAAUGUAAUCAGAAAACAUGAGGGAUUAAUAGAUAAUAUUGUAAAGAGGCAAAGGCAGCAGAUGUUAUUUAGAUGAGCAGAAGGUCACAGACCUCUGUUGAGGAUUGAAAGCUUGAGGUACGUGCCUUUGUUCCUCAGUGUGUGUGGAUCAGAGUGAUUACUGAUAUCAGUUAGCAACAUGGUGGAGGGGACAAACUGGGGCUGCAUUUUCACUAUGUUUAUUAUUGCUCAAGGUCAAAAAGUGACUGUGUAGUGCCUCAGUUUUUACAUCUUUGUGUUAUCAAUAUUUUUUUCUAUUACCUUACAAGUUUAUUUUGAUGCUGUAAUGAUGAGACAGUGUUUUGAAAAGUUCUAAAUAAAUAAAAGGGUAUUCUCUAACUUUUAAA